rnacentral:rRNA from 1 species
UGUUUGAUGUUCUAACGUUGGCCCCUGAUCGGGGUUGCGGACAGUGUCUGGUGGGUAGUUUGACUGGGGCGGUCUCCUCCUAAAGAGUAACGGAGGAGCACGAAGGUUGGCUAAUCCUGGUCGGACAUCAGGAGGUUAGUGCAAUGGCAUAAGCCAGCUUGACUGCGAGCGUGACGGCGCGAGCAGGUGCGAAAGCAGGUCAUAGUGAUCCGGUGGUUCUGAAUGGAAGGGCCAUCGCUCAACGGAUAAAAGGUACUCCGGGGAUAACAGGCUGAUACCGCCCAAGAGUUCAUAUCGACGGCGGUGUUUGGCACCUCGAUGUCGGCUCAUCACAUCCUGGGGCUGAAGUAGGUCCCAAGGGUAUGGCUGUUCGCCAUUUAAAGUGGUACGCGAGCUGGGUUUAGAACGUCGUGAGACAGUUCGGUCCCUAUCUGCCGUGGGCGCUGGAGAACUGAGGGGGGCUGCUCCUAGUACGAGAGGACCGGAGUGGACGCAUCACUGGUGUUCGGGUUGUCAUGCCAAUGGCACUGCCCGGUAGCUAAAUGCGGAAGAGAUAAGUGCUGAAAGCAUCUAAGCACGAAACUUGCCCCGAGAUGAGUUCUCCCUGACUCCUUGAGAGUCCUGAAGGAACGUUGAAGACGACGACGUUGAUAGGCCGGGUGUGUAAGCGCAGCGAUGCGUUGAGCUAACCGGUACUAAUGAACCGUGAGGCUUAACCUUACAACGCCGAAG